AGCGAACGUUAGCGGCAGGCCUAACACAUGCAAGUCGCACGAGAAUUGGUCUUCGGACCAUAGUAAAGUGGCGGACGGGUGAGUAACACGUGGAUAAUCUGCCCUUCGGCGGGGGACAACAGUCCGAAAGGAUUGCUAAUACCGCAUACGUCAGCGAGGUCUUCGGACUUUGCUGGGAAAGAUGGCCUCUUCAUGAAAGCUAUCACCGAAGGAUGAGUCCGCGUCCCAUCAGCUAGUUGGCGGGGUAAUGGCCCACCAAGGCUUAGACGGGUAGCUGGUCUGAGAGGGUGAUCAACCACACUGGAACUGAGACACGGUCCAGACUCCUACGGGAGGCAGCAGUGGGGAAUAUUGGGCAAUGGGCGCAAGCCUGACCCAGCCAUGCCGCGUGAGUGAUGAAGGCCUUCGGGUCGUAAAGCUCUGUGGGGAGGGAAGAAACACCUUGUGGCUAACAUCCACGAGGCUUGACGGUACCUCCUUAGCAAGCACCGGCUAACUCCGUGCCAGCCGCCGCCGUAAAAC
rnacentral:rRNA from 1 species